rnacentral:rRNA from 1 species
CGGGUAACGGGGAAUUUGGGUUCGAUUCCGGAGAGGGAGCCUGAGAAACGGCUACCACAUCUAAGGAAGGCAGCAGGCGCGCAAAUUACCCAAUCCUAAUACAGGGAGGUAGUGACAAGAAAUAACAAUACAGAACCUUACGGUUUUGUAAUUGGAAUGAGUUAAGUAUAAACCCCUUAACAAGUAUCAAUUGGAGGGCAAGUCUGGUGCCAGCAGCCGCGGUAAUUCCAGCUCCAAUAGCGUAUAUUAAAGUUGUUGCAGUUAAAAAGCUCGUAGUUAAUCUUCUGUUAAUUUUUAUAUAUAAUAUCACGAUAUUUAUAUAAUAUUAACAUAAUUCAUAUUACUUUUUAGUAUAUGAAACUUUACUUUGAGAAAAUUAGAGUGCUUAAAGCAGGCUAUUGCCUUGAAUACUCCAGCAUGGAAUAAUAUUAAGGAUUUUUAUUCUUCUUAUUGGUUCUAGAAUAAAAAUGAUGAUUAAUAGGGACAGUUGGGGGCAUUUGUAUUUAACAGUCAGAGGUGAAAUUCUUAGAUUUGUUAAAGACAAACUACUGCGAAAGCAUUUGCAAAGGA